GAUGAACGCUGGCGGCGUGCCUAAUACAUGCAAGUCGAGCGAACAGACGAGGAGCUUGCUCCUCUGAUGUUAGCGGCGGACGGGUGAGUAACACGUGGAUAACCUACCUAUAAGACUGGGAUAACUUCGGGAAACCGGAGCUAAUACCGGAUAACAUGUUGAACCGCAUGGUUCAACAGUGAAAGACGGUCUUGCUGUCACUUAUAGAUGGAUCCGCGCCGCAUUAGCUAGUUGGUAAGGUAACGGCUUACCAAGGCAACGAUUCGUAGCCGACCUGAGAGGGUGAUCGGCCACACUGGAAGUGAGACAAGGGACAGACUCCUACGGGAGGCAGCAGUAGGGAAUCUUCCGCAAUGGGCGAAAGCCUGAAGGAGCAACGCCGCGUGAGUGAAGAAGGUCUUCGGAUCGUAAAACGCUGUUAUUAGGGAAGAACAAAUGUGUAAGUAACUAUGCAAGUCUUGACGGUACCUAAUCAGAAAGCCACGGCUAACUACGUG
rnacentral:rRNA from 1 species